rnacentral:pre_miRNA from 1 species
UCCUUCAGACACUGAGUAACUAUGUCUAGGGUUGGGAGACCAACCAUAGACAUAGUUACUUAGUGUCUGAAGGA